UGAAUGAUAGAGUGGCAGCCAGCUGCUUGCAGAGGAUCUCCUGAACACUGCUGUCAAGGAACAUAACUCAGAAAGUUCCUACCGUUGAGGAGAAGACUGUUCCUGCCAACAGGAAGUACCCAUUUCCAGGUGCACACCUUAACGCUGUGAGGGGGUUUGAGAGUGCUGAAGAAGCUGAGAGCAAUGCUGUCAGGAGUCUAGACCAAGAGGCUGGACUCCUAGCAGGGGCACCCAAGGCGGAAUAGUCAAACCACCUCUGAAUACCUCUUACCACAAAAACCCUAUGAACAGAGUAUCCAAAAUGCAACAUGAGAUAGUGCUGGAAGAUGAGACUCCCAGGUCAGAAGGCACUCACCGAGCUACUGGGGAAGAACAAAGGACAAGUAUGAGUAGUGCUGUGACUAAUGAUACAGCUGGGUCAAAGCCGAAAGGAAGCCCAGAGGCUGAUGUGCACAGAUGCAAAAGGAGAGUCCGGAGUUGUACAAUGCACACAAUCGGAACAUGGAAUGUGAGAAGUAUGAACUAGGGAAAGUUAGAAAUUAUCAAGCAAGAAAUGGAAUGCAUCAACAUUGUAAUACUUGGCGUGAGUGAAUUAAAAUGGACGGGAAUGGGUCAUUUUCAAUCAGGCAACUACAAAAUAUUUUAUGCAGGAAAUGAGAAAUUAAGAAGCAGUGAGGUUGUUUUAAUAGCGAGAAGUGAUGUAGCAAAAGCAAUUAGGAGCUAUAAUGCAAGGCCUGAGUGAGUGAUAUCAAUGAGAUUAAAUGGGAAACAUAUUAACAUAAUCAUCAUCCAAGUCUAUGCUCCAACAGCAAACGCAGAAGAAGAGGAACUGGAGAGUUUAUGCAGAAGUGCAGGAAGAAAUUGAUCACACACGAAAACAAGAUGUGCUGAUAAUCAUGGGGGACUAGAAUCUGAAAGUAGGGAACAGAGAAGAACUAGGAAUUGUGGGAAAAUGGGGCUUAGGAGAUAGAAAUGAAGCAGGAGAGAGACUUAUUGAAUUCUGUGAAGCCAAUAAUUUGUUUCUUGCAAACACAUUUUUUGAGCAACUGAAAAUACAACUGUACAUGUGGACAUCACCAAAUGGGCAAUAUAAGAAUAAAAUUGAUUAAAUUGGUAACAGGAGAUGUAGAAGUUCCAUACUUUCUGCGAAAACAAGACCAGGAGCAGACUGCGGUACAGAUCAUGAACUAGUAAUAUUGAAAAUCAGAGUAAAGCUAAAGAAGACCAACAAAGCAAUCAUCAUGCCAAAAUACAAUUUAAAUAACAUCCCAGAAGAAUAUAAAGAUCAAAUAAGGAACACAUUUGAGGCUUUAAAUUUAGUUGACACAGAACCAGAGCUAUGGAGUGAAGUCAGAGACAUUAUCAGGGAAGAAUGCAACAGACAAUACCUCUAGUUAAAAAGAGAGGAAGACAUCAAUGGAUGACUGACAAAACUCUUAAAAUAGUUAAAAAGAAAAGGAAAGCAAAAGCAAAAGGAGACAGAAACACAGUUAGAACCCUAAAUGCAACUAUACAGCAACUAGUACGUAGGGACAAAUAUAACUAUUACAAUAGUUAUUGUAUAGAAAUAGAAGAGGACAACAAAAAGGGUAGAACAAGAGCCCUAUUCCAAAAGAUUAGAGAAAUGAAAGGGAAAUUUAAACCAAGAGUAGGGAUGUUGAAUAAUCAACAGAGAAACACACUGACUGAACAAGAUGAAAUAAAAGGAAACAAUACACUGAAGAAUGUGAGGCGUCCUUCCCUGGCUCUCCCUGUCAGGUUCCUACCUGCUCAUGGUUACUGCCUGUCUCUAGGCACCACCAGGGACUCCACCAGUCCGGACCGCUCUCUCUUAUGGUUUCUCUCCCCGCUCUAGCACAGAUCUCAACAGAUCCCCCUGCUAGGCAACCACCAGUAACGUCCCAAUACUAAUAUUCCCAGAGACUCUGAAUACUGGUAUUGUUAUUCUCUUCACCGCUGCCACCAUUUGUUACAGUUCCCCUUCAGCCUUGGUCAUUACCUUACCCUCCCUUCUGGUCUGUGAAACCCCAGCCAAGGAUCAGGCCUUUGGUAAACCAA